CGGUUAAACCAUAGGGCUAAAUUAUAUUUUUAGGUAAUAAAAGCAGUUAGGUAACCAGAAAAAGCAGUUAUAUAACUAUUCAUGAAGAGAUUAAAUUUAGAUAUGACUUAUUAAGCCCCUAAUAACUAUAUAUACUGAAGCUGCCACAUCUCUAAGGGAAACUAGGAUUUGAUACCCUAUUAUUUUCAGACAUAAAUUUUUUAUACCAGAGUACUACGAAUUAAUAAUUUCAAACUCAAAGAGCUUGGCGGCAUUUUAGACUAAUCAGGGGAACCUGUCUCAUAAUCGAUACUCCACGCCGAAUACUUACCUCUUUUUGCCCUCAGCCUGUAUACCGUUGUCGCCAGGUCACUUUUUAGAAAAAAAUAGUCAGCAAAAUAACCUUCUAGUUAAGACGUCAAAUCAAGGUGCAGCCAAUAAAGAGGAGCAGAUGGGUUACAAUUAACAAUUAUAAUACGAAUUACAUACUGAAAAGCAAAUAUCAAGGUGGACUUGAAAGUAAAAUAAACUAGAAAAAUAUAUUGAAUCUAGCUCUGAAAUGUGUACUAACCCCCC
rnacentral:rRNA from 1 species